rnacentral:rRNA from 1 species
AUGGUAAAAUGGGUGGAUAUCUGCUUGCCCAAGGACCGUGGUGGUAUGGGCAUCAUUGCCUCCCGCCGUAUGAACUCGGCGCUCAUGCUAAGAUGGGUCUGGCGCAUCCUACGCGGCGAGGGAGGAUUAUGGCUUCAGCUCCUUCAAGCAAAAUAUCUGAGGGGUGAACCGCUCUUAGCUUGCAACCGAACGGAAGGCUCACAAUUCUAG